rnacentral:rRNA from 1 species
AGUGGCGGACGGGUGAGUAACGCGUGGGUAACCUGCCUCAUACAGGGGGAUAACAGUUGGAAACGACUGCUAAUACCGCAUAAGCGCACAGGGUCGCAUGACCUGGUGUGAAAAACUCCGGUGGUAUGAGAUGGACCCGCGUCUGAUUAGCCAGUUGGUGGGGUAACGGCCUACCAAAGCGACGAUCAAUAGCCGACCUGAGAGGGUGACCGGCCACAUUGGGACUGAGACACGGCCCAAACUCCUACGGGAGGCAGCAUG